rnacentral:RNase_P_RNA from 1 species
UGAGCCGGCUGGGUGGCCGCGGCCCGGCCCUCGGGACCGGGCUGAGGAAGGUCGGGACUCCGUAGGGCAGGGUGCUGGCUAACGGCCAGUCGGGGUGACCCGCAGGAAAGUGCCACAGAGAGCAGACCGCCGAUGGCCGGUCCCCGGACCGGCACAGGCAAGGGUGAAAGGGUGCGGUAAGAGCGCACCAUCGGUCGAGGUGACUCGGUCGGAUCGGUAAACCCCACCCGGAGCAAGGCCAAACAGGGGGCUGGGUGGCCCGCCCGGCGCCUCUCCGGAGGCGCCACCCCCAGGUAGGCCGCAGAGAUGGAUGGCCGCCCAGGCGCCCUGGUGGCGCUGGACAGAAUCCCGCCUACAGGCCGACUCACCGC